rnacentral:lncRNA from 1 species
AUGCUUUUUGUUAUUCAUUAAUCAUGUGUUUCUUUGUUUAAUACGUUCUCCUAUUUAUUUGUAUUGUAGUCCUGUAAUAUUAUGUUGUCAUUUCAAUGUUAUAUUUAACAUUGCCAUUAAAGUGCGAGGUUUGGCAUGCCACAAAACCAGGUUCAACCCACCAUUUUUUCCUUUAAAAAUGUCCUGUACCAAGUCAGGAAUAUGGCCAUUGUUAUAUUAUUGUUCGUUUCUGUGUGUGUUACAUUUUAACGUUGCGUCGUUUGUUUUCUCUUAUUUUUGAGUGUAAUUUCACAUUGCGAUAAGACGUGUCACGGUACUUGUCUAUCCCAAAUUCAUGUAUUUGGUUUUGAUGUUAUAUUUGUUAUUCUCGUGGGAUUUUGUCUGAUGCUUGGUCCGUUUCUGUGUGUGUUACAUUUUAGUGUUGUGUCGUUGUUCUCCUCUUAUAUUUAAUGCGUUUCCCUCGGUUUUAGUUUGUUACCCCGAUUUUGUUUUUUGUCCAUGGAUUUAUGAGUUUUGAACAGCGGUAUACUACUGUUGCCUUUAUUUAA